GAAAACUAGAAGAAGUGAUCUGAUUGGUUGCUAUGGGCAACUGGUCAUCUUUUCCUCUCCACAGGUUUUGAUUCCUGAUUGUCUUCAUAUAUAGGAUGAGAAUCUUCUGACACAAAUUCCAAACAAUGAAUGAAGUUUUCAGCUCACCCUCAAUGGCCCCAGAGUGCACGGACUGUGCAAGGCAGCACCACUGAAUGCAGGAACAAAGGAUAAAGUGUCCAGCGCAGUUACUAUUACCAUAAAAUCUAGAAGAACACUUCAGUCAAGGGAGAAUAUCCUGCACCUGUUGUUCUGUUUGCAGGACCACACGCUGGGGAGACGAAUGGAAGAAGACGAUUAAACUGGAAUAUGAAAUAUGUUUCAGGGCCAGCAUUGGAUGUGUCCUCCUCCCGUGUAUGUCGAAGUGAAGAACAUAGUCAAUGUGGCUAAUUAAUGCUUUCUUUUAUCUAUCCAUUGGUGUUUCUAAGAAUUACCCGGCUUCAGGGAAUAGGGGAAGAAGUACUUGGAAUGUACUACCUGGUAUCAUCUGCGAUAGAAAAAUCAUUUGUAUUGUUCUUAUUCCGAGUAGAAAGUUUAGCUCUGUGCAUAAUGAGUAAUCUCCGCACUUCUUUGUUAAUUAAUUUUGCAGUAAAUCUUACUGGAGGACACUAUUAUAUUCUCCUAAGACGUCAAUGUGUGAACACAUAAGUGGAUAACAUGUUUCCCUGUGCAAUCCCCUGGGAUUUGUUACUCGGUGGAUGGGGCUUUUUAGAGCAGAUAAAUAUAAAAUCAAUCUGGAUGACGCUUGGUGGAAUUGAAUUAAAAUUGCAUUCAUGAUCUAUAAACAUAUGUAUCUGCUGUUGUUGCAUGUGGCAUUUCCAUAUAUACACUGCCAUCAUUUAUGACUAUUUUUAAGAUCUUUUCUGCAGGUCAGUGAAGUUACAUAAGCAGGGUUGGUGCCUGGAUUUUUGCCACAUUAGGCAAAAGUAAAUUUUGCCUCGUCCAUAACUCCGCCCAUUGCCCUCUACCCCCCUUUGACCCCCCCCCCCUUUAAUCCAGGUGUGAAGCAGCUGUUGCCUGUACACACUGCACACAGCACUGAAGCGUCACAGCCCCUGGUGAGCAGAGGAUAGUCUG